AUCAAGCCAGAUCGGGCAGAGACCACAGUUUUGGGGACUUGUGUGUUUGCCAGGUGUGUGUGCUGAUGUGCAGCUUCCUGACCUCCUUUAUAAAAGUGACUGUUGGUCCAAGAGAAUACAGAACUAAUUCUAGACAGAAUGACCGCAGGUCCCGGGCUAAACAUUUAGUGUCCACGGGGUCCAAAAUUUUGCCAAACAUGUUUUUCUAAGAUGUCCUGUUCUUCUGAGCCAACUCGUUUGCGACUCCAAAAGCCUCAAGCCAUUUUCUCUGCCAUCUUGCGGCCACUGCCAUAAAAUCUGUUUUGCCUCUUACGGCACCCACAGUGGGAUUUGUUUUGUUUCGUGGCCCUAGAGACCCAGCCGUUUUCCCAGCUUGUUUGAGCUCAUGAAGGACCUCCUGCUUCUGUAAGAUCAGUGGAAAUCAGUGGCUCUCUUCGUUAUUUGGUCUAUACAGUCAUCAUUUGGGUCAUUUGGGGAAGGUGUUGUUUUUACAAGUCACUGAGUGCUGCUAAAUGCAAUUGAUUUUCUCUCGCUACAUGACACUACACCCCAACCAUGGAUUGUAUUCCUGAAAACAUCACUUUCUGAGUGGGAUCUUGAAAGUUUUUGAGAUUCAUUGCCGAAUCACACAUUGUUCAGUCAUUUUGAGUCCAUCUCUCUGUUUUUUCUCUUGAUACGGCUACUAUGUAAACAAGAUCUCUGAAAUGAAACACAGGAAGGAGGCCCAUGCCAAUAUUUGGGACACUCAACUAUGACGGUUGGUCACCAGGACACUCUCUGGAGGACAUUCUCUAGACUUUUCGUGGUGAAUAAUGUCAUGGAAACAGAAGUCGAAUAAUAAUGAAGUGUAUUUGAAAUCUGUAGAAUGUUAUAAAUCAAUGUUACCUCAUUAAACAUAAAAGAAGAAAAUUAAAAUUAAAGAAAAAGCCUA